GAUGAACGCUGGCGGCGUGCCUAAUACAUGCAAGUCGAGCGAACAGACGAGGAGCUUGCUCCUCUGACGUUAGCGGCGGACGGGUGAGUAACACGUGGAUAACCUACCUAUAAGACUGGGAUAACUUCGGGAAACCGGAGCUAAUACCGGAUAAUAUUUUGAACCGCAUGGUUCAAUAGUGAAAGACGGUCUUGCUGUCACUUAUAGAUGGAUCCGCGCUGCAUUAGCUAGUUGGUAAGGUAACGGCUUACCAAGGCGACGAUGCGUAGCCGACCUGAGAGGGUGAUCGGCCACACUGGAACUGAGACACGGUCCAGACUCCUACGGGAGGCAGCAGUAGGGAAUCUUCCGCAAAGGGCGAAAGCCUGACGGAGCAACGCCGCGUGAGUGAUGAAGGUCUUCGGAUCGUAAAACUCUGUUAUUAGGGAAGAACAGAUGUGUAAGUAACUGUGCACGUCUUGACGGUACCUAAUCAGAAAGCCACGGCUAACUACGUG
rnacentral:rRNA from 1 species